UACGUAGGGUGCGAGCGUUGUCCGGAAUUAUUGGGCGUAAAGAGCUCGUAGGCGGCUUGUCGCGUCGACCGUGAAAACCCGCAGCUCAACUGCGGGCUUGCGGUCGAUACGGGCAGGCUCGAGUUCGGUAGGGGAGACUGGAAUUCCUGGUGUAGCGGUGAAAUGCGCAGAUAUCAGGAGGAACACCGGUGGCGAAGGCGG
rnacentral:rRNA from 1 species